AACGAACGCUGGCGGCGUGCCUAACACAUGCAAGUCGAACGAGAAGGUUUCCUUCGGGGGAACUAGUAAAGUGGCGCAAGGGUGAGUAACACGUGAAUAAUCUACCUACAAAAUUCGGGAUAACUCGGCGAAAGUUGUGCUAAUACCGGAUAAGACCACACUCCGUAUGGAGAGUGGCCAAAGGAGUCUCAAACUCCGUUUGUUGAUGAGUUCGCGGACCAUUAGCUUGUUGGUGGGAUAACAGCCCACCAAGGCUACGAUGGUUAGCCGGCCUGAGAGGGUGAUCGGUCACACUGGAACUGAGACACGGUCCAGACUCCUACGGGAGGCAGCAGUGGGGAAUAUUGCGCAAUGGGCGAAAGCCUGACGCAGCAACGCCGCGUGAGGGAUG
rnacentral:rRNA from 1 species